rnacentral:Y_RNA from 1 species
GGCUGGUCCUAAGGUAGUGAGUUAUCUCACUUGAUUGUUCAGUCAGUUACAGAUUGAACUCCUUGUUCUACUACUUUCCGCCCUCCUCACUACUGCACUUGACUAGUCUUAA